GACAGAGGGUGCAAACGUUGCUCGGAAUUACUGGGCGUAAAGCGCGUGUAGGUGGAUUGGUGUGUCAGAUGUGAAAGCCCUGGGCUCAACCCAGGAACUGCACCUGAAACUACCAGUCUUGAGUGGUGGAGAGGGAAGUGGAAUUCCUGGUGUAGAGGUGAAAUUCGUAGAUAUUAGGAAGAACACCAGAGGCGAAGGCGGUUUCCUGGGCCAAUACUGACGCUGAGGCGCGAAAGCGUGGGGAGCAAACAGG
rnacentral:rRNA from 1 species